rnacentral:rRNA from 1 species
UACGGGGGAGCAAGCGUUGUUCGGAUUUACUGGGCGUAAAGGGCGCGUAGGCGGCCUGUGCAAGUCAGUUGUGAAAUCUCCGGGCUUAACUCGGAACGGUCAACUGAUACUGCUCGGCUAGAGUGCGGAAGGGGCAACUGGAAUUCUUGGUGUAGCGGUGAAAUGCGUAGAUAUCAAGAGGAACACCUGCGGCGAAGGCGGGUUGCUGGGCCGACACUGACGCUGAGGCGCGAAAGCUAGGGGAGCGAACGGG